UACAGAGGGGGCAAGCGUUGUUCGGAAUUACUGGGCGUAAAGGGCGCGUAGGCGGCCGACUAAGUCAGACGUGAAAUCCCCUGGCUCAACCAGGGAACUGCGUCUGAUACUGGAUGGCUGGAGUUCGGGAGAGGGAAGUGGAAUUCCAGGUGUAGCGGUGAAAUGCGUAGAUAUCUGGAGGAACACCGGUGGCGAAGGCGGCUUCCUGGACCGACACUGACGCUGAGGCGCGAAAGCCAGGGGAGCAAACGGG
rnacentral:rRNA from 1 species